CCUACGGGUGGCAGCAGUGAGGAAUAUUGGUCAAUGGACGAGAGUCUGAACCAGCCAAGUAGCGUGAAGGAUGAAUGCCCUAUGGGUUGUAAACUUCUUUUAUAUGGGAAUAAAAUGUUCCACGUGUGGGAUUUUGUAUGUACCAUAUGAAUAAGGCUCGGCUAACUCCGUGCCAGCAGCCGCGGUAAUACGGAGGAUCCGAGCGUUAUCCGGAUUUAUUGGGUUUAAAGGGAGCGUAGGUGGAUUGUUAAGUCAGUUGUGAAAGUUUGCGGCUCAACCGUAAAAUUGCAGUUGAAACUGGCAGUCUGGAGUACAGUAGAGGUGUGCGGAAUGCGUGGUGUAGCGGUGAAAUGCUUAGAUAGCGCGAAGAACUCCGAUUGCGAAGGCAGCUCACUGGACUGCAACUGACACUGAGGCUCGAAAGUGUGGGUAUCAAACAGGAUUAGAUACCCCAGUAGUC
rnacentral:rRNA from 1 species